AUACGUAGGGGGCGAGCGUUGUCCGGAAUGAUUGGGCGUAAAGGGCGCGUAGGCGGCGCGGUAAGUCUGGAGUGAAAGUCCUGCUUUCAAGGUGGGAAUUGCUUUGGAUACUGCCGCGCUUGAGUGCAGGAGAGGUUAUCGGAAUUCCCGGUGUAGCGGUGAAAUGCGUAGAGAUCGGGAGGAACACCAGUGGCGAAGGCGACUUACUGGACUGUAACUGACGCUGAGGCGCGAAAGUGUGGGGAGCAAACAGGAAUAGAUACCCUGGUAGGCCACACCGUAAACGAUGAACGCUAGGGGUAGGGGGUAUCGACCCCUUCUGUGCCGCAGUCAACACAAUAAGCAUUCCGCCUGGGGAGUACGGCCGCAAGGUUGAAACUCAAAGGAAUUGACGUGG
rnacentral:rRNA from 1 species